rnacentral:misc_RNA from 1 species
GGCGAGUGCAAGCAAUUUAGUCUUCCCGUGGAAUCCGGCUACCGGAUUUUGAAGAGCUAAAGCGAAGCGCAUCAUAUAAAUUUGAAACGCCAGCAGCUGAAGUCGGAGACUCCCUACUCGCUACUCUUGCCAUCUCAUAGGAAGGGAAAACAGGAAAUGGAUGAAGAAGAAUUUCGACGCCUUCUUGAUCUCUUCCCUGUUGUCCGACCUCGCGAUUACCAUAUUGACUUCGACCUAUCUAGGCAAUCCACUUCUCGGUCGCUGCAGGAUGAGGCGGCAAAGAAUUGGCAUGACUCAUGGGAGGAGCAGGAGGGGGAUGAAAAGGAAACAAGCAAUCAAGCUAUUGAUUUACAUGAUGCAUUCUGGGAGAAGCUGAAGUUGGCAGCUGAGAGGAAGGUGGGUGCAGCAGAGGCUAAGAGAUUUUGCAACGCUUUUCAACAAGUUCACAGGCAACUAGUAUAUGAAGAGCUGAGUUUCGAUGCUGCCCGUAGCUUCAUAAAUUCAAAAAGUUCUGGAAAACAGUUUUCUUCCUAGCUGUAUUAUUCACUUUUUCUCAAAUUGAUUAUGCAGUUGCCACCUAUUUUGUUCUGAA